rnacentral:rRNA from 1 species
AUUGAACGCUGGCGGCAUGCCUAACACAUGCAAGUCGAACGGCAGCACAAUGUGUAGCAAUACACAUGGGUGGCGAGUGGCGGACGGGUGCGUAAUGUGUAGGGAUCUGCCCUGAAGUGGGGGGCAACCCGGGGAAACUCGGGCUAAUACCGCAUAAUACUCUACGGAGGAAAUCUGGCUACGUAAGUAGCUGGUGCUUUAGGAUGAACCUACAUCCGAUUAGCUAGUUGGUGAGGUAGUAGCUUACCAAGGCGAUGAUCGGUAGCUGGUCUGGGAGGAUGGCAAGCCACACUGGGACUGAGACACGGCCCAGACUCCGACGGGAGGCAGCAGUGGGGAAUAUUGGACAAUGGGGGAAACCCUGAUCCAGCAAUGCCGCGUGGGUGAAGAAGGCCUUCGGGUUGUAAAGCCCUUUAGGCGGGGAAGAAGGUUCUAGGGUGAUAAGCCUUAGAGCUUGACGGUACCCGCAGAAUAAGCACCGGCUAACUCUGUGCCAGCAGCCGCCGUAA